rnacentral:lncRNA from 1 species
ACGGCCAUUUGAGACCGAUUAGCUCCCCUCUGGUAGGGUUUACUGACGACGCUGUUCUGACGGAAGGAAUAAUAACUCUGACUGUGGCCGCAGGUCGAUAUCCAAGGCAAUCCAGGGCUCUGGUGAAUGCUCGGCCUACAAUGCAAUCCUCGGCCGACCUGGCCUUAAUGCUCUCCGAGCCGUCGUAUCAACCUACCAUUUGAAGUUGAAAUUCCCCACCAACCAGG